CUCAUUUUUUAUGCCCUACCUACGAUAGAAGAGGGGCAUUAUGUUUUCUGGUCUGUGCGACCGUCUGUUUGUCGGUUCUGUCCCGCUUCAGGUUAAUGUUUUUGGUCAAGGUAGUUUUUGAUGAAGUUGAAGUCCAAUCAACUUGCAACUUGGUACACAUGUUCCUUAUGGUCAAAUAUGGUAUGAUCUUUCUAAUUUUUAAGCCAA
rnacentral:lncRNA from 1 species